rnacentral:snRNA from 1 species
AUACUUACCUGGCAGGGGAAAUUCCAUGAUCACGAAAGUGGUUUUCCCAGGUCGAGGCUUAGCUAUUGCACUCCAGAUGUGCUAACCCCUGCGAUUUCCCCAAAUGUGGGAAACUCGAAUGCAUAAUUUGUGGUAGUGGGGGACUGCAUUCACACACACACACA